UACAGAGGUCUCAAGCGUUGUUCGGAUUCAUUGGGCGUAAAGGGUGCGUAGGCGGCGCGGUAAGUCGGGUGUGAAAUCUCGGAGCUUAACUCCGAAACUGCAUUCGAUACUGCCGUGCUUGAGGACUGGAGAGGAGACUGGAAUUUACGGUGUAGCGGUGAAAAUGCGUAGAUAUCGUAAGGAAGACCAGUGGCGAAGGCGGGUCUCUGGACA
rnacentral:rRNA from 1 species